CCGACUAUAUCAUAUUGAAACACCGGUCCCCGAACGAUCUCCAAAGUUAAGCAACGUCGAGCCUGGUCAGUAUCUAGAUGGGUAACCACUUGAGAAUAUCAAGUGC